rnacentral:rRNA from 1 species
ACGUUAGCGGCGGACGGGUGAGUAACACGUGGGUAACCUACCUAUAAGACUGGGAUAACUUCGGGAAACCGGAGCUAAUACCGGAUAAUAUUCGAACCGCAUGGUUCGAUAGUGAAAGAUGGUUUUGCUAUCACUUAUAGAUGGACCCGCGCCGUAUUAGCUAGUUGGUAAGGUAACGGCUUACCAAGGCGACGAUACGUAGCCGACCUGAGAGGGUGAUCGGCCACACUGGAACUGAGACACGGUCCAGACUCCUACGGGAGGCAGCAGUC